ACACACACACACAGCUUAUGGAUGAGAGAGCCAGAUGGAGGCAUCCGACUGAUGAGAGAUUGAGAGAGAGGGGUACAGAACCAUGUAUCAUGCGAGAUUCCCCAUAUGACCCUGAGAGUCAACAGAAUCGCUCUUGGGUCCAACGGGAUUCUGUUAUGGCUUACAUCGACAAUGCUGUCACACCAGACCAGUAAAUAGUCUCAGUGGAUGCGGAAUGCUGUGAAUACGGACUACUCUUCUCAUAUCCUAUAUAAUAGAGAAGUGCAAUUUCUAA